UUGAACGCUGGCGGCAGGCCUAACACAUGCAAGUCGAACGGUAACAGGAAGAAGCUUGCUUCUUUGCUGACGAGUGGCGGACGGGUGAGUAAUGUCUGGGAAACUGCCUGAUGGAGGGGGAUAACUACUGGAAACGGUAGCUAAUACCGCAUAACGUCGCAAGACCAAAGAGGGGGACCUUCGGGCCUCUUGCCAUCGGAUGUGCCCAGAUGGGAUUAGCUAGUAGGUGGGGUAACGGCUCACCUAGGCGACGAUCCCUAGCUGGUCUGAGAGGAUGACCAGCCACACUGGAACUGAGACACGGUCCAGACUCCUACGGGAGGC
rnacentral:rRNA from 1 species